rnacentral:ncRNA from 2 species
AAAACAGCCUUAUAUUUCACUCAUAUAAUAGCGGGAAUAUGGCUCGCAAGUUUCUACCGACUUACCGUAAAUAAGUUGACUAUGAGAGAGACAAUGUUUAGA